rnacentral:rRNA from 1 species
UACGUAGGGUGCGAGCGUUGUCCGGAAUUAUUGGGCGUAAAGAGCUCGUAGGCGGUUUGUCGCGUCGACUGUGAAAACCUACAGCUUAACUGUGGGCUUGCAGUCGAUACGGGCAGACUUGAGUUCGGUAGGGGAGACUGGAAUUCCUGGUGUAGCGGUGAAAUGCGCAGAUAUCAGGAGGAACACCGGUGGCGAAGGCGGGUCUCUGGGCAGUAACUGACGCUGAGGAGCGAAAGCGUGGGGAGCGAACAGG